rnacentral:rRNA from 1 species
UGGGGAAUUUUGCGCAAUGGGGGAAACCCUGACGCAGCAACGCCGCGUGAGUGAUGAAGGCUUUCGGGUCGUAAAGCUCUGUCAAGUGGGAAGAAAUUAUUAAAUGCCAAUACCAUUUAAUAUUGACGGUACCAUUGAAGGAAGCACCGGCUAACUCCGUGCCAGCAGCCGCGGUAAUACGGGGGGUGCAAGCGUUAUUCGGAAUUAUUGGGCGUAAAGAGCGCGUAGGCGGUCUUUCAAGUCAGAUGUGAAAGCCCGGGGCUUAACCCCGGAAGUGCAUUUGAAACUGGAAGACUUGAGUAUGGGAGAGGGAAGUGGAAUUCCUGGUGUAGAGGUGAAAUUCGUAGAUAUCAGGAGGAACACCGGUGGCGAAGGCGACUUCCUGGACCAAUACUGACCUGAGGCGCG